GAUCCUAGCCGUCCAAGCAGUGGUCUGUUAUCUGUUAAUGGACUUUCAUCUUUAUGACUUACUCAUUCUCACCAGCCAAGCAGCAAUUUAAAGCCACACUAAGAUGGUGAUGAAUGCCAGAGUGGGUCACAGACAACAAAAGAUUCUACCAGUGCCUUGGGACUAUCAAGAAUGAUGCGGUGACCAAACAUUAUCAGAAGGAUUUUCAGGCUGAACUGAUGGGGAAUACAUUUCGACGACAGCUGAGAAGUGAUGCGAUACCAGUAAUGUUUUUUCUUCACCAGAAAACAGAACUUUCUCAAUUAACGUUAGCUAGCUUGCUAAGUUAACUAGCUAACGUUAUACAGUCCUGCAAAUCAUAUAGCUAUAUUUUGGUAUACACACUGGCGUACAGCAGGUCAGCCACCAGGGGGAGACUUGUUGAGGCCUGGUGACAGACGGAGUAUACAUCACGAUGCGAUGGCGCCAUCUGCUGGACGUGCCAGGUCUCGACAGGCUCUCCGGACAGGACUAAUUGGGGCUGAUUGCUCACCAGUUGUACCAGUCCCAUGAAGCUGCCAGAAGGGCAGCACACAGGGGAGAGAGUAGGGGAAGACAGGACUCCCGUAUAGUUGGGGACAGAGGUAACAGGAGUGAGUUCAGUUUUUAAUCCCCACAGGAUACAGCAAGACCCGGAGCCAAGAAGACAGUAUCCCGAAUAGGGUCUCAUGGGGGAGACCUAUUCUUUUCUUUUGAACUAUUAUUUUAAUAAACACCUUUGAAACUGA